GUCUGACUUUCCUGGUAUAUAUCAAAAUAUAAGGAAAUUUAGAUGAAAUAGAGAGAAAUAUCAGGCUCAAUGACCUCAUUAUAUCUUCAUUACCUUUGAAAGCAAAUUUCAUUGAAUUCGACAUUCAAUACAAGCAAUCUUUUAAAACCCUUAUUUGACUGCGUGUCUUUUUGAAUCUUGUGUACACACAAGAACUUUUAAGAGUACCCACGAUUCUGAUAGAAAAGCACACUAACUUUUAGGUAAAAUUCUUGAAUCUCCACCAUCCCAUAAUGAAUUUUCAGUCAUAUUCGCGUGGAUGGAUUUGCAAGAUGGUUUUCUUGGCUUUCCUGGUACUACUUCCGACUGCAGUUUUAGGCGAAUGUACAUGUGAAGCCGACGAGGAAGAUCGGAACAAAAGUUUAGCACUCAAAUAUAAGUUGGCUGCACUUGCUUCAAUCCUCGUCGCGAGUGCAAUUGGGGUUUGUCUUCCUGUUUUGGGGAAGACGAUACGAGCUUUGAGUCCAGAGAGAAGCUUUUUCUUUAUUAUAAAGGCAUUCGCAGCCGGAGUAAUUUUGUCGACGGGUUUCAUCCACGUGCUUCCCGAUGCGUUCGAAAACUUGACAUCUCCGUGUAUCAGUGCCCAUCCGUGGGGAGAUUUUCCAUUCACAGGCUUUGUCGCAAUGGUUUCGGCCAUUGGGACUCUUAUGGUGGACACAUAUGCAACCUCCUAUUACAGCAAGGAAUCAAGAGGCAAGGCGCAAAUAGCUAGCGGCGAAGAAGGAGUUGUCCCGGUUCAUACUCAUGCCACCCAUGGCCAUGCACAUGGAGCAGUAUCGAUGGAAACUGAUUCUGGUGAAACACAACUUCUUCGUCACCGCGUAAUCUCACAGGUGUUUAUCUUGAUUCACUAAUUUUGUUGUGCUCGAAGCAGAAAUUACUUGUCACUAAUUGUUAAGACUUCGGAUUUCAUCUUAAAAGAUGAAUUUUAUUAAGAGAAAUAGCACGAGUCUAUAUAUAUAUAUUGAUCUAUACUUUUAUUUUUAUUCGAUGUGGCAUUUGUUUCUUAACAUGUCCUAUAAAUGGUGACUUGUUUAAACAGACCAAUCUUAAAAUAUUUGUGCUCUUUUUUUGAGUUUUAAUUAGAUCGAAUCGUUUGUUUGAGUUUAAUGGACUCUGGUACCAUCUUAAGACUUGAGUUCGACAUUAAAAAUUCAACAGGAAGAAUAGCACAAAUUCUUAUAUGUUCAACUAUAUUUUUAUCUUUAUUCAAUUUGGGAUUUGUCCCUUAACUCCGAUGUUUAAUUUUCAUUGUGCUGUAGGUGUUGGAGUUGGGAAUUAUAGUCCAUUCUGUAAUUAUUGGAAUUGCUUUAGGUGCUUCUGAAAGUCCUAAAACAAUAAAGCCUUUAAUUGCUGCGUUGACCUUUCAUCAGUUCUUUGAAGGCAUAGGCUUAGGAGGAUGCAUAACGCAGGUAUUCACACAUAAAUCUUGUCUCAGUAUUUCAUUUGGUGCAAUUUUUACAGAUUUUCAUAUUUUCCAUUUUGCUCUUCAUUUUCUACUAAAAUUUAAAUUAUUAUUAUAUCCCUUUUUAUAUCCAUUUAUUAUUUAAAUGAUUUAGUUUAAUCUAAUUUAUGUUUAUUUUAAUUCGUUACUAUUUUUAUAUUGUGAUGUCAAAAGUAAUUAUUUUUUAACUGUAAUAUUAAGCUCCUAUUUGACAAUCAUUAUUUGAAGAAAAUGAUAGUUUGAAUAGUGAUUUUUAAGAUAGUCCAUAUGUACUAAAGUAAAAAGAUUUCAACAUAAACAAACUCAAUUUUAAGAUUUAUUUGUUGUUGCUUCUGCUUCUUCGCCUUAUCUAAUUCCUAUGCAUUUCUCCACAAAUCUACUCAACACUAUUACAAUGCUUGAAUUAACUUAUAUUUUCUUUCGUUAUUUUUGGAAAGAUUCUUUUGAAUGCAUCUUAGAGCUUAGCUUAAUUAUUCGUGUUCUUAAUUUACAGGCUAAGUUUAAAUCACGUGCAAUUGCAAUAAUGGCCCUCUUCUUCUCUCUCACAACCCCAAUAGGCAUCGUGAUAGGUAUUGGAAUAACAAACAUUUAUAGUGAGACCAGUCCCAAUGCUCUUAUUGUUGAGGGAAUUUUUAACUCAGCAUCGGCCGGAAUCUUAAUUUAUAUGGCACUAGUAGAUCUUCUUUCAGCUGACUUUAUGAGUCCAAGAAUGCAAAGCAAUGGAAAGCUUCAGUUAGGUGCAAAUAUUUCUCUUCUUCUAGGCGCUGGAUGUAUGUCUCUCUUGGCAAAAUGGGCUUGAGAUAUAUCACAUGUUUUUAUUCAUCCUCCUCCUUUCUCAUUACUAAUAUUGCUCUCUUUGUACGACAAAAAUGUCGAAGUACACUACUGAUAUGAAGUAUGUUGCAUGUUUGUUUGUUUUUUAUUUUAAUUACAUAUCGUAUUGAUUAUUUGGAAUUGCAAAAUUAUGACUUAUACACAUUUUGCGAAA
rnacentral:lncRNA from 1 species